AUUGAACGCUGGCGGCAUGCUUUACACAUGCAAGUCGAACGGUAACAGGCCUUCGGGCGCUGACGAGUGGCGAACGGGUGAGUAAUGCAUCGGAACGUGCCCAGUCGUGGGGGGUAACGCAGCGAAAGCUGCGCUAAUACCGCAUACGAUCUAUGGAUGAAAGCGGGGGACCGUAAGGCCUCGCGCGAUUGGAGCGGCCGAUGUCAGAUUAGGUAGUUGGUGGGGUAAAGGCUCACCAAGCCAACGAUCUGUAGCUGGUCUGAGAGGACGACCAGCCACACUGGGACUGAGACACGGCCCAGACUCCUACGGGAGGCAGCAGUGGGGAAUUUUGGACAAUGGGCGCAAGCCUGAUCCAGCAAUGCCGCGUGCAGGAAGAAGGCCUUCGGGUUGUAAACUGCUUUUGUACGGAACGAAAAGGCUCUGGUUAAUACCUGGGGCUCAUGACGGUACCGUAAGAAUAAGCACCGGCUAACUACGUGCCAGCAGCCGCCGUAA
rnacentral:rRNA from 1 species